rnacentral:rRNA from 1 species
UGGGGAAUAUUGCACAAUGGGCGCAAGCCUGAUGCAGCGACGCCGCGUGAGGGAUGGAGGCCUUCGGGUUGUAAACCUCUUUUAUCGGGGAGCAAGCGAGAGUGAGUUUACCCGUUGAAUAAGCACCGGCUAACUACGUGCCAGCAGCCGCGGUAAUUCGUAGGUG